UAGUUUAGGUAGAAAUAAAAACUAAAACAUAAAAAUACAUAACUAAGAACUAAAGCUGUUUUCUUUUUAUUUAGCAUCUUCGAAUGAACUUUGAACUUUAUAUAGUAUGUAUAUAAAGUAAUUUGAAACAAAGUUAUAGUUUCUGAUUUCUGAGGUAUAUGAGUUCCUGAGUUUGAUUUACAUAUAUGCACACGUUUAUAUGCAUAAAGUCUAAAAAUAAAAACUUAAAAUUAUAUAUAUUUUUAUUUAGUAUUAACUCUCUAAUUUUUCUUUGUGUAUGUGCCACGCCCAGAGCGGAUUGCGUACGCCGUACGCCCACCAGGACAGCAAAACGUACUUAAAAAAUAAUAUGUAAUUCAGACUCCAGAGAACGUUUUGCAGCCAGGCUAGCGCAGAGGCGGCAAAGCAAUGGGCGUGGUCCGCGGGGGCUGGCUGAGCGACUGUGUGUGACUGUGUGUGUGUGUGUGUGUGUAGGUGUGUGUUUCUUUAAAUUUAGUUUUAGUUGUUAGUUGUUAGUUUUAGUUUUUAGUUUAAUUUAUAUAGUAAACAUUUUGCCCAGUUUUGGGUCUUUUUUUCUCUCUUUGUUUUGUUGGUCUCCGAGGGCAACGACAGUUGCAACAGUAGUCAUAUCUUCGUCUUCUUCUUCUUCUUCUUCUUCUUCGGGCGAUCAUCUGGUUGUUCAUGAUCCUUUGGCGCGUAAACGUUUAUCAUCAUCUUCUUCAUUAUCAUCACUCAUUAUCAAUCACUCAUUGUUAGGCUUUAAAUUCAAGUUGUGGGGGGC